CCGAUUUCACCAACGUCGAGUGACCUCUAACCGAGGAAUAAAUUGGGCGUAAUGACAGUUUUUGUAUUGAAAACCUGCCAAAACUUCAAAUUUACUCUCGGACAAGACUUAUUUUACGUUGGUAAAAUCGCCAAUUAUUACUUACUACAACCGCU